UUGCCCCUUGAAUAUAUUUGGGGUUCAUCCUGCCCAGUGAUAUUAUUUAACGGCCGCGGUAGCCUGACUGUGCAAAGGUAGCAUAAUCAUUUGCCCUUUAAUUGGGGGCUUGUAUGAAUGGAUAAACGAGGCUAAAUCUUUAUUUCUAUUAAUUCCGUAAACUAAUGUUUAAGUGAAAACGCUAAAUUAAAAAGAAAGACAAGAAGACCCUAUAGAGCUUAACCCAAACCCUAAUUCUAAGUUAGCUAAGGGUUUAGUUGGGGCAACUAAUUUUCAACCUAGCAUUAUUAUUCAAUAAGACUUCAAGUCAACUCAAUGACCCAUAAGAUCAAAGAAAGUAGCUACCUUAGGGAUAACAGGCUGGUUUCUUUUGAGAGCCCUUAUUAACAAAGAAGAUCGGCACCUCGAUGUUUACUUACGGGUGUCCUGUGGUGCAGCCGCUCAC
rnacentral:rRNA from 1 species